GCUGGAGCAGCUCAGUGUUAGAGCACUUGCCUAGCAUGCAUGAGACUCUAGAUUCCAACUCCAGCA
rnacentral:tRNA from 1 species